UUCGCAAUGCCCGAAAGGGUGACGAAGCGACGCCGCGUGGGUGAGGAAGGCCUUCGGGUUGUAAAGCUCUGUCGAGGGUUAUGAAACGUAGAUGAGUUAAUACCUCAUUUAUUUGACAAAGGCUCCAAAGGAAGCCACGGCUAACUCUGUGCCAGCAGCCGCGGUAAUACAGAGGUGGCGAGCGUUGUUCGGAAUUAUUGGGCGUAAAGAGCACGUAGGUGGAUUUGUAAGUCAGAUGUGAAAGCCUUCUGUUCAACGGAAGAAUUGCAUCUGAAACUACAAACCUUGAGUGUAGGAGGGGAGAAUGGAACUUCUGGUGGAGCGGUGAAAUGCGUAGAUAUCAGAAGGAACGCCGGCGGCGAAAGCGAUUCUCUGGCCUAUUACUGACACUCAGUGUGCGAAAGCUAGGGGAGCAAACGGGAUUAGAUACCCCGGUAGUCCUAGCUGUAAACGAUGGGCACUAAGUAGAGGGGU
rnacentral:rRNA from 1 species